CCUACGUGCGGCAGCAGUGAGGAAUAUUGGUCAAUGGGCGCGAGCCUGAACCAGCCAAGUAGCGUGAAGGAUGACUGCCCUACGGGUUGUAAACUUCUUUUAUAAAGGAAUAAAGUGAGGCACGUGUGCCUUUUUGUAUGUACUUUAUGAAUAAGGAUCGGCUAACUCCGUGCCAGCAGCCGCGGUAAUACGGAGGAUCCGAGCGUUAUCCGGAUUUAUUGGGUUUAAAGGUAGCGUAGAUGGGUUGUUAAGUCAGUUGUGAAAGUUUGCGGCUCAACCGUAAAAUUGCAAUUGAUACUGGCAGUCUUGAGUACAGUUGAGGUAGGCGGAAUUCGUGGUGUAGCGGUGAAAUGCUUAGAUAUCACGAAGAACUCCGAUUGCGAAGGCAGCUUACUAAACUGCCACUGACAUUGAUGCUCGAAAGUGUGGGUAUCAAACAGGAUUAGAUACCCUUGUAGUC
rnacentral:rRNA from 1 species